GAUAAAGCCUUAACUUUAACAGAAAUUUGUUAUUAUAUAAUGGUGUCGAUGCACCACAAAGUGUGAAACGUGAGAGCCCUUGAGAUGAAGUACCUGAAGAUAUUUCUAGUUUGUCAAAGCAAAUCAAUGACAGAGAAAAAAAUAGGUGAAUGUUUUCCUGACCCUCUCUCCUUUUAGCCCAUCGAGAGUCAUAGAAGAAAGUUUAUUGUUAAUCUAAGGUAGAUCUCAUUAUCUACACUAAAUUUUUUUCUUCUUCUUAUAUACCCUUUGGAUAUACUCUUAGUCUUGAUGCUUACUCAGAGAGGUAGGAAGUGUGAUAUCAUGCAUGAAUGUAGUUGGAGGAGUCUUCCUUUAGAAGAUUUAAGCUUGAUUAACUCGAGCUUAAUAGUGAUGGAAUGUAAGGUUCUAUGUAUAACUGACAUUUCCAUUUUACGAGGGUGACUUUAGUAUCUCAUACAUUCUGUUUCUCAUCUACAAUAUGAUUUUAAUAAUUUAUUUGUCUUUUCUGAUUAUCUGUUAACUAUUUUCUUUUUGUAGGUUUUCAUGGCUGAUAAUGAGAUGCUUUCUCCUGCAAGGAAUCCUGCCAAGAGAAGUAGAGAAGAGAAUGAACCAUAUGUAGUAGAAGUUGAUUAUAAUCUUGCAUAAUUAUCAAGUAAUAAGGUCAAAAGAGUGAUUACACAGGAGAAAAAUUGUCACGACCCAAUUCCCGAACCUGGUCAUGAUGGCGCCUCUCAUGAAGACAAGGCCAGCCAUUCAACCCAAUUCAUCCUUUUAAGAUAAUUAAUUAACACAAUUAUAGUAUAAA
rnacentral:lncRNA from 1 species